AACGAACGCUGGCGGCAGGCUUAACACAUGCAAGUCGAGCGCCCCGCAAGGGGCGCGGCAGACGGGUGAGUAACGCGUGGGAACGUACCUUUUGGUUCGGAACAACUCCGGGAAACUGGAGCUAAUACCGGAUAAGCCCUAACGGGGAAAGAUUUAUCGCCGAAAGCUCGGCCCGCGUCUGAUUAGCUAGUUGGUGAGGUAACGGCUCACCAAGGCGACGAUCAGUAGCUGGUCUGAGAGGAUGAUCAGCCACACUGGGACUGAGACACGGCCCAGACUCCUACGGGAGGCAGCAGGGGGGAAUAUUGGACAAUGGGCGCAAGCCUGAGCCAGCCAGGCCGCGUGAGUGAUGAAGGCGUUAGGGUUGUAAAGCUCUUUUGUCCGGGAAGAUAAUGACUGUACCGGAAGAAUAAGCCCCGGCUAACUUCGUG
rnacentral:rRNA from 1 species